rnacentral:rRNA from 1 species
GACCAAGAAACUAAGUUAUAUUUUUUAGUCAAAAGAUAGUUAGAUAAACAAUAAGUCUUAAGAUUAUUUAUAAAGAGGUAAAAUUCAAUUAUAAAUUUUAAUUUUUUUGAAGACUAAUGACAUUGAAUCUAUGAUAUCUUAGAAAUAAACUGGGAUUUGAUACCCCAUUAUUCUUAGACGUAAACUAAAAUUUUAUUUUACUAGAGUACUACGAACAUAAUGUUUAAAACUCAAAGAGCUUGGCGGUGCUUUAGACCUCUCAGGGGAACCUGUCUCGUAAUCGACAAUCCACGAUAUACCUAACCUUUUUUUGUUUUCAGCCUGUAUACCGUUGUCGUCAGUUAGCUUCUCAAAAAAUUAAAGCUAGCUAGAUAAGUUAAUUAGUUUAAACGUCAAAUCAAGGUGCAGCCAAUAAAAAGGUGAAGAUGGGUUACAAUUAUAAAUUUAUAAUUAUGAAUAGUUAAAGGAAAAUUUAAAAUGAAGGAGGACUUGAAAGUAAAAUUUUAAUAUAUAAAUUAUUUGAAUAAGGCUCUGAAGCGUGC